UACGGGGGGGGCAAGCGUUGUUCGGAAUUACUGGGCGUAAAGGGCUCGUAGGCGGCCAGCGCAAGUCAGUUGUGAAAUCUCCGGGCUUAACUCGGAACGGUCAACUGAUACUGCGCGGCUAGAGUGCAGAAGGGGCAACUGGAAUUCUCGGUGUAGCGGUGAAAUGCGUAGAUAUCGAGAGGAACACCUGCGGCGAAGGCGGGUUGCUGGGCUGACACUGACGCUGAUGCGCGGAAGCCAGGGGAGCGAACGGG
rnacentral:rRNA from 1 species